rnacentral:rRNA from 1 species
CAUGCAUGUCUAAGUAUAAGCAAUUAUACUGUAAACUGCGAAUGGCUCAUUAAAUCAGUUAUCGUUUAUUUGAUAGUACCUUACUACUUGGAUAACCGUGGUAAUUCUAGAGCUAAUACAUGCUAAAAACCCCGACUUCGGAAGGGGUGUAUUUAUUAGAUAAAAAACCAAUGCCCUUCGGGGCUCUUUGGUGAUUCAUAAUAACUUAACGGAUCGCAUGGCCUUGCGCCGGCGACGGUUCAUUCAAAUUUCUGCCCUAUCAACUUUCGAUGGUAAGGUAUUGGCUUACCAUGGUUUCAACGGGUAACGGGGAAUUAGGGUUCGACUCCGGAGAGGGAGCCUGAGAAACGGCUACCACAUCCAAGGAAGGCAGCAGGCGCGCAAAUUACCCAAUCCCGACACGGGGAGGUAGUGACAAUAAAUACUGAUACAGGGCUCUUUUGGGUCUUGUAAUUGGAAUGAGUACAAUUUAAACCCCUUAACGAGGAACAAUUGGAGGGCAAGUCUGGUGCCAGCAGCCGCGGGAAUUCCAGCUCCAAUAGCGUAUAUUAAAGUUGUUGCAGUUAAAAAGCUCGUAGUUGAACCUUGGGCCUGGCUGGCCGGUCCGCCUCACCGCGUGUACUGGUCCGGCCGGGCCUUUCCUUCUGGAGAGCCGCAUGCCCUUCACUGGGUGUGUCGGGGAACCAGGACUUUUACUUUGAAAAAAUUAGAGUGUUCAAAGCAGGCCUUUGCUCGAAUACGUUAGCAUGGAAUAAUAGAAUAGGACGUGCGGUCCUAUUUUGUUGGUUUCUAGGACCGCCGUAAUGAUUAAUAGGGAUAGUCGGGGGCAUCAGUAUUCAAUUGUCAGAGGUGAAAUUCUUGGAUUUAUUGAAGACUAACUACUGCGAAAGCAUUUGCCAAGGAUGUUUUCAUUAAUCAGUGAACGAAAGUUAGGGGAUCGAAGACGAUCAGAUACCGUCGUAGUCUUAACCGUAAACUAUGCCGACUAGGGAUCGGGCGAUGUUAUUCUUUUGACUCGCUCGGCACCUUACGAGAAAUCAAAGUUUUUGGGUUCUGGGGGGAG